GGGUUGUGAGGUUAAGCGACUAAGCGUACACGGUGGAUGCCCUGGCAGUCAGAGGCGAUGAAGGGCGUGCUAAUCUGCGAUAAGCGCCGGUAAGGUGAUAUGAACCGUUAUAACCGGCGAUACCCGAAUGGGGAAACCCAGUGUGAUUCGUCACACUAUCAUUAACUGAAUCCAUAGGUUAAUGAGGCGAACCGGGGGAACUGAAACAUCUAAGUACCCCGAGGAAAAGAAAUCAACCGAGAUUCCCCCAGUAGCGGCGAGCGAACGGGGAGGAGCCCAGAGCCUGAAUCAGCAUGUGUGUUAGUGGAAGCGUCUGGAAAGGCGCGCGAUACAGGGUGACAGCCCCGUACACAAAAGCGCAUGUGCUGUGAGCUCGAUGAGUAGGGCGGGACACGUGGUAUCCUGUCUGAAUAUGGGGGGACCAUCCUCCAAGGCUAAAUACUCCUGACUGACCGAUAGUGAACCAGUACCGUGAGGGAAAGGCGAAAAGAACCCCGGCGAGGGGAGUGAAAAAGAACCUGAAACCGUGUACGUACAAGCAGUGGGAGCACCCUUCGGGGUGUGACUGCGUACCUUUUGUAUAAUGGGUCAGCGACUUAUAUUCUGUAGCAAGGUUAACCGUAUAGGGGAGCCGGAGGGAAACCGAGUCUUAAUUGGGCGUUAAGUUGCAGGGUAUAGACCCGAAACCCGGUGAUCUAGCCAUGGGCAGGUUGAAGGUUGGGUAACACUAACUGGAGGACCGAACCGACUAAUGUUGAAAAAUUAGCGGAUGACCUGUGGCUGGGGGUGAAAGGCCAAUCAAACCGGGAGAUAGCUGGUUCUCCCCGAAAGCUAUUUAGGUAGCGCCUCGUGAAUUCAUCUCCGGGGGUAGAGCACUGUUUCGGCUAGGGGGCCAUCCCGGCUUACCAACCCGAUGCAAACUGCGAAUACCGGAGAAUGUUAUCACGGGAGACACACGGCGGGUGCUAACGUCCGUCGUGAAGAGGGAAACAACCCAGACCGCCAGCUAAGGUCCCAAAGUCAUGGUUAAGUGGGAAACGAUGUGGGAAGGCCCAGACAGCCAGGAUGUUGGCUUAGAAGCAGCCAUCAUUUAAAGAAAGCGUAAUAGCUCACUGGUCGAGUCGGCCUGCGCGGAAGAUGUAACGGGGCUAAACCAUGCACCGAAGCUGCGGCAGCGAACGUAUCACCCAAGACAACUUUACGGAGUUGACGAUUGACGGAGCGAAGCGACGUCAAAGCGUUCAUUAAAGUCGAGUUGGCUUAGGGAUACGUUCGUUGGGUAGGGGAGCGUUCUGUAAGCCUGUGAAGGUGUGUCGUGAGGCAUGCUGGAGGUAUCAGAAGUGCGAAUGCUGACAUAAGUAACGAUAAAGCGGGUGAAAAGCCCGCUCGCCGGAAGACCAAGGGUUCCUGUCCAACGUUAAUCGGGGCAGGGUGAGUCGACCCCUAAGGCGAGGCCGAAAGGCGUAGUCGAUGGGAAACGGGUUAAUAUUCCCGUACUUGGUGUUACUGCGAAGGGGGGACGGAGAAGGCUAUGUUGGCCGGGCGACGGUUGUCCCGGUUUAAGCGUGUAGGUGUGUGUUCCAGGUAAAUCCGGUUCACUUUAACACUGAGGCGUGA
rnacentral:rRNA from 2 species